GUAGUUGUCGAAAAUAAUCGUUUAUAAUUACGGUUUAUAAGUUAGCUGGUCUACUACU
rnacentral:tRNA from 1 species